rfam:Stegodyphus mimosarum contig97152, whole genome shotgun sequence.
GCCUUCGUGGUGUAAUGGUCAGUACACUGAGCCGGUAAUUCAGAGGUCCGUGGUUCGAUCCCCGGCGAAGGCA